rnacentral:rRNA from 1 species
CACUCCUACGGGAGGCAGCAGUGGGGAAUUUUGGACAAUGGGCGAAAGCCUGAUCCAGCAAUGCCGCGUGAGUGAAGAAGGCCUUCGGGUUGUAAAGCUCUUUUGUCAGGGAAGAAACGGUGAAAGCUAAUAUCUUUUGCUAAUGACGGUACCUGAAGAAUAAGCACCGGCUAACUACGUGCCAGCAGCCGCGGUAAUACGUAGGGUGCAAGCGUUAAUCGGAAUUACUGGGCGUAAAGCGUGCGCAGGCGGUUUUGUAAGUCUGAUGUGAAAUCCCCGGGCUCAACCUGGGAAUUGCAUUGGAGACUGCAAGGCUAGAAUCUGGCAGAGGGGGGUAGAAUUCCACGUGUAGCAGUGAAAUGCGUAGAUAUGUGGAGGAACACCGAUGGCGAAGGCAGCCCCCUGGGUCAAGAUUGACGCUCAUGCACGAAAGCGUGGGGAGCAAACAGGAUUAGAAACCCCGGUAGUCCCAUGAU